rnacentral:rRNA from 1 species
CCUUACCUACUCUUGACAUCCAGAGAACUUAGCAGAGAUGCUUUGGUGCCUUCGGGAACUCUGAGACAGGUGCUGCAUGGCUGUCGUCAGCUCGUGUUGUGAAAUGUUGGGUUAAGUCCCGCAACGAGCGCAACCCUUAUCCUUUGUUGCCAGCGGUCCGGCCGGGAACUCAAAGGAGACUGCCAGUGAUAAACUGGAGGAAGGUGGGGAUGACGUCAAGUCAUCAUGGCCCUUACGAGUAGGGCUACACACGUGCUACAAUGGCGCAUACAAAGAGAAGCGACCUCGCGAGAGCAAGCGGACCUCAUAAAGUGCGUCGUAGUCCGGAUUGGAGUCUGCAACUCGACUCCAUGAAGUCGGAAUCGCUAGUAAUCGUGGAUCAGAAUGCCACGGUGAAUACGUUCCCGG